UCUUGACUGGUAUCAUUCGUGAGAGGAGCGAUGUAUCAUUCGUAACCUAGCAGCACUGUACAUUUUCGAUCUGGGUUGCUGUUGCUGCCGUGGGUGCCAGAAGCUACUGCUGUUGUGUCAUCCACAGUUAAAGAAAAGGAGUCUUGACUGGUACAAUGGAUAUUGAUUCGAACAAUAAUUUUUUCAAUGGGAGUGACGAAGUUGAAGAAAAAGAUAACAGUCUUUAAUUUAAUGAGUGUGAAGAUGACGAAGUUGAAGAAGAAGAAGUUGAAGAACCUAAGAAGGGAAUGUAUUUUAGCUCAAAGGAAGAGGUGUACGCAUUUUAUGCAGAAUAUGCCAAACACUCGGGAUUUGCUAUAGCUUAUAAAUCACAAAAUUUAACAUGUGAUGGGGAAGUUAAGUACUUUGGAAUUGAAUGUACUAGGGCGCGGAACAGAACAAAAAGAUCAGAAAUAAAUCCCUUGGAACCAUCUUUGUUAUCAAGAAAUGAGUGUAAAGCAAAGGUAAGAGCCAGUCUACAAAAGGAUAGAACAUAUAAGUUAACCACAGUUGUGCUUGAGCACACUCAUGGUUUGGUUGCGACUGACUCACGGCAUUUUGCAAUGAAUAAGAGGAUUGUUGAGCCGGUGAAGAGGAGAUUAGAAGUUAACGAUGCAGCAAGAAUUGGUGUGGCUAAGAAUUUUCAUUCCAUAGUUGUUGAAGCGGGGGGAUAUGAGGCAUUAACGUUUGAUGAAUGAGAUGCAAGGAAUUAUAUCAACAAUGCUAGAAUGUUGAGACUUGGGGUAGGAGACGCCGAAUCAAUUACACAUUAUUUUCAUAAAAUGCAACAACAAAAUUCAAACUUUUAUUCGGCAAUUGACCUUGAUGAAGAUGGUCGCAUGCGCAACUUGUUCUAGGCAGAUGCAAGGAGUAGGGCGGCUUACAAAGCAUUUGGGGAUGUUGUCUCUUUUGACACAACCUAUUUGACAAACAAAUAUGACAUGCCAUUUGCUCCGUUUGUAGGAUAUAUCACCAUGGACAACCAAUUUUGUUCGGUUGUGGGUUGUUAAGUAAUGAGAACACGGAGACUUUUGUUUGGCUAUUCAAAGAAUGGUUAAGUUGCAUGUCAGAUGCUCCCCCAAAAGCGAUAAUAACUGACCAGUGCAGAGCUAUGCAAAAUGCCAUAGAAAUUGUCUUCCCAGAGGCUUGGCAUUGUUGGUGUUUAUGGCAUAUUAUGAAGAAAAUUCCCGAGAAAUUGAAAGGAUAUUCACAAUACGAGUCCAUUAAGGUUGCUUUCAGUAAUGUAGUUUAUGACUCAUUCACAAUAGAUGAAUUUGAGGAUUACUGGGAAGUAAUGAUUGAAAAUUUCAAUUUGAAUGAUAACGAGUGGUUGGGGGUAUUACACUGUGAGAGACAUAGGUGGAUUCCUGCCUAUGUUAAAGACAUAUUUUGGGCUGGCAUGUCAACUACACAACGAAGUGAGAGUAUGAAUGCAUUCUUUGAUGGAUAUGUGAACUCCAAGACAACGUUGAAGCAAUUUGUUGAGCAGUAUGACAAUGCGUUGAGAAGUAAGGUAGAGAAGGAGACAAGCAGAUUUUAAGUCUCGUAACAAAUUGUAUGAUUGCUUAACGGUGUAUCGUUUUGAGAAGCAAUUUCGUGCAGCUUACACUAAUUCCAAAUUUAAAUAAGUUCAAGUAGAACUGAAGCGUCUAGUGUAUUGUCAUGCAAAUCUUAUCAAACAAGAGGGAGCAGUUUCUACCUAUCAUGUGAGGGAGGCUAUUGUUCUGGGUGAGGGGAUAAAGAAAGUGGAAUUUGUUGUGUACUUUAAUUCAACUGAAUGUGAGCUCCAAUGUAUGUGUCGAUUGUUUGAGUUUAGAGGUAUUAUGUGUGCACAUUCACUUUCUGUGCUCAUUGAGAGAUCCAUAUAUGAGGUGCCAACUAAAUACAUUGUUUCAAGAUGGAGAAAAGACUUGGAAAGAGGCUACACAUGCAUUCCAACCACAUAUACUAACUUUGGCUCUUCUCUACAUCCAAAGUUGCAUGAUAACUAUCACAACACGUUAGAUGAGAUCCUAGAUUUUGCUACCAAUGAUGAUGCUAAACACAAAGUGAUUCGACUUAGGUUGAUGAAAAUCAAGGAUGAAGUGAGAACAGUUCAAUCAAGUAGUGCGAGCAAUGUGCCAUGUACUAGUACUUUACCACCUUCAAGUAGUACUUUACCACCUUCCCAUACUUCACCAAAAAGUCCGCCUUGUAUCAAUACUACAAAAGAAAGCAUGACUCACAACGUACGAAGUCCUUUGGUUGCUCGCCGAAGAGGCCGUUCAUGUACGAAAUAAAAGGUUAGCAAGGUUGAUGCAAUAGUCAAUCGGUUGAAGGAAAAGAAUAAGAAGGUGCAUCAAGGUGAACCUCGUAAGUUAAGCUUUCCUUGUAUGUGAGUCGUGCAACACACUAUGUAUGAACCGGUACGUGUUAAAUAUGAAGGUUGUUUGGGGUUUUUUAUUUUGGCUUCUAAUUUUACUGCUUGAAAUUAGUAAUUUACUUGUGUUACUAUUUCAUCAUUAGGUGCCGCCAAGUUAAUAUUACUAUCGUCCUUCUAUGGAUGCCAUAGCAGAUCCUUUCCUUGUCCCGGCACCAGUUACCACAAGUGGGGACGAUAUUAGGAGCACAUCUCACCAAGAAGCUGGAAUGGUCAACAAUAUUAGCAGUGAAAGAUCGAUAGUACCGUCAUAUUUUGUUGACUUGAACAUCGACGGGGAUCCGAAUCUCCCAUUUCUUUUUUAGUUUCGAAGUGGUAAUUGUACGUGAAUUUCAUUUGUAAACUUCAGAUUAUUCACUUGAAUGUCCCAUAUGUUUGAGUUCAAUGAAGUGAAUGUCCCAUAUUUUUUAGUUGAAUG